rnacentral:lncRNA from 1 species
GGGUUGUGACUAAGUAAAAUGAGGUUACCUGAACACCAGCACUGCGGCAUAGUGAUAGAUGGUCUGAUAACACGCAGGACUUACUGCUGAGUCCUAUACACACCUGGACCUGAUGGAUGAAAGGAUGACGAAGCUCAGGAGAGAUCAAGCCAGCAAAGAUUGUAUAACACUUCUCAGAACAGCACAUACUUGGUAAUCUCAGAACUUGAGAAACUGAGGCAGGGGCAUCAUGGUGAGUUUCAGGUCAGCCUGGGCACCAUGGUGAGAUCCUGCUCUCAAAAGAAACAAAAGGUUUAAACUAUUUUAUUUCUGAAUUUUUCUUAUUAAUAUCUUCCUCCAAUGACUGUGGGCCAAUAGACAUGUGGAUGCUAUUCUAGGGGAUUCCAGGGCUACAAGAGAAGGUUUCUGUGAUUUUUAAACAUGAUCAAACUGAUCUGUAAUUCAGCUUUAAAGUCUCAGCAUCUACUUAAGUAUUUUUUAAUCCAUAAGCCUCGUCUAUAUAUAUUUAGAGCCCAGAUCCUUCCAAAAUCUAUCCAAGAUAAUGAAAACCCUGAAAAACCCAGCCUCCAUUAGAUAUAAGGUUUUCCUAGUACUUGAUAUGCUUUUACCUGCAAACUUUUGUGGAGAGCUAACUUAUACAGGCUUCCGUUAUUUCAUUUUCAAACAGAUUGCAUUCCAAAAAUGCAUUUAGGAUUGGCUCUUUGGAAUAUAGGAUACUUUUUUUUUUUUUGUCUUUCAAAAAUACUGUUAUGUGUUUUCAGGCUAGCCCUAGAAGUAUUACAAGAUAGAGUGGAAUCUGGGAGGCUGGGGCAGGGGAUUUGUUAUGAGUGCAAAGAUAGCCUAUGCUACAUAGUAAGGCUAAAUCUCAAAAACAACAACAGAAAAUACAAAUGGCCAAAUACAACAACAAAAGACAGUUGAAGUCUGUAAUCCUUUCCUCCCUAAUCAAGUGCCAAUAUGCCUUAGUUACCUCCUUUUUUCUUGGUGUGUGUGUGUGUGUGUGUGUGUGUGUGUGUGUGUGUGUGCACAUGCGCACGUGCCACUGAGCAGGGCACUAGUGGAGAUCAGAGAACAACUUGGGGAAACCAGUUCUUCGUCCUGGGGUCUGAACUCAGGUCUGCAGGCUUGGCAGUAAGUGCCUUUACCCAAUGAGUCAUCUCAGCCCCAAAUUAUUACCUUCCAAUGGAAACAGUGAUAUCAGUAUGUGAAAGACUAAUAGAUUCCAAAUAUUCGCAGAGAUCUAUCUUUUAAAAAAAUACCUCUAGCCGGGCGUGGUGGCGUAUGCCUUUAAUCUCAGAACUGGGGAGGCAGAGACAGGGGGAAUCUCUGAGAUUGAGGCUAGCCUGGUCUAUAGAAUGAGUUCCAGAACAGCCAGGGCUACACAGUGAACGCCCAUCUUGAGCCCCUGCCCCCAGUCUUACUUUUGUGUAGUCUGACUUUGUUUUUUUUAUUUAUUUUUGAGACAGUGGUGUCAUGAAGCCCAGGCUGGCCUUGAACUCACCAAGCAGUGAGGGUGGUCUUGAUCGUGGGAGUGGUACUAUGCCUGUCUCUUUACUGUAUCAGAUGAGGACAGCAACUAUUGUUAACAUGCCUAUAACUGUAUAAACAGUUUGGAUGUGCCUAUAAGAAAUCACUGCUUUCUAAAAGAAGAGGAAACUAGGGCUCAGAAAAGGCAAGUUCAUGUUUUGCUUGGGGUCUUUCUGGCAUGGUGGUCAGGCUCAGACUAAGGUCUAGCCCCAAAACCACGUCAGCAUCCAGUGCUCUGUGCCCCACCUCCCUCGGAGGUUCAGAAGCCACCCGAGCGCCACAUUUAAUGGGAUACUCUGUAACCGAGGCUCAGAAGAGCACCAGGAUGCAGGAUGAGCUCAGGGCCAUCGUCUCAAGACAUAUAAUUCUGUAGGCAUUUUAGGUGUGUCUUCUCUUGGGCUGAAUGCGGAACUGGGGGUGGGGUGUAUGUGGUUGCUAUGGCAACAGUUGAUAUCAAUUUGAGAUCUGGCCAGAAGGGGAAUAAGGAAAGGAGUAGAGAAUAAAUGGAAAUUAAGUCAGUUGUGGCCCAGGUCUUAAUCUCAGCAACUGGGAGGGAGGAGGGCAGAGAAUCAGGAAUUCAAGGUCACUCUCAGAUACUUUGCCAAACUGAGGACAAUCUAGACUACAGGAGUGUAACCCUGCCUCCAAAGACAAAUAAAACAACAACAAAAUAAAAACAAAAAGGAAGAAAGAAAAGAGGAAAUGAUUAAGUAGGAAGAACCCAGUAGGAUUCAGGGUGCACAGGGGCAGAGCCCAGCAUUGAAGUGAAGAAUGAAGCAUUGGAAUGGAGGUCCGGCUCCUGCUAACAGUCAGGGGGUUUGUCCCAUCCUUAGCACCAGAGACAAAAGCUAAAGGAAGCUGUGACUCAGGAAGCCAUAGUUUACCACCUUGGUUGGGCUCAGAGGAGACGUGAUGGCCAGUCCUAGUGUGUCUAUGAAAGCAACCCCUUUGUGGCCACUCUGAGCCUGGCUCAGAGACCUCUCUGCUUCCUGGUGUUGGGUGUGGACAGCCAAACUCAGUUCCUCUCUCCAAGGCCUUCCUGCUAAGGGCAGAAGCUUGAUGCUUAAGGCUAGGCUCAGGUUUGGGAAGGAAGUUCUGAGGAGACCUCUACACUCCAGAGUAUCCAAACCAUGAGUCUAACGGCAGUUAGUCAUCUGCUGUCUUCAGGAGGUCCUCGGAAAACAGAACAGAGCCCACCAGCCGGCUGGAAAGGAAGAGCCAAACUGUUUGUUAUUCCCCUGGGAAAUUUUUUAAAAUAGUAUCGAGCAAAUUUUAUCAAAACCUGGUCUGUCCAAAACCAGAAAACAGUAUUUGUGACUGUACCUUGAGAGGAAGGUUUUAGACCACUGAGUUUCUAACAGCUGAGUCACUGGAUCCUGUGGCAGAAAACUAGGGGUUUUUGGCAGGUGGGGGAGGGCUUUAAGUUGCGAUAAGCCUUUCAGACCUGGGCUGGAGGAUAUCCCAGCAGUG